CACCGCGCUUUCUCUUCCCACUCUCUCUUGUUUCGGGUCAGAUUUUGAAGGAGAAGCUUGGGCCUAGAUCCAGGCCAGCCCAGUCGGGCUUCGAGCCGAGCUCGAACUGUAAUUUUGAAAGAAGUUUCAAGCUCUUUUCGGCAUGAAGCUAGAAUCAGGCCUGAACUGUAUUGAAACCCGACCUAGCCUGCCCCAAUUUCAGCCCAAUUCAUCAGAGAAUAGGGACAUAGGUGUCUAAUAAUGUUCAAAAUUUAUUGUUUCUUGAAAAAAAGUAGCCAUUUCUGCGACUCUGAAAACCAACAAGCGUAUGGGACAUUAACCUGAUGUUGUUAUUGCCAUUGCAUUAAAGUACCAUCGCAUGGAUAAAAUUAGAUGGUAGUCCAUCUAAUUGUUUAUGAGAGUGGAGCUCCCAGAUCUUGCAGAUUCAAUCUCAAGUCUUAUUUUACUCUUGUGGGUGAAUAGAGGGGGGCAAGGCGCCAUUUUUGAAGUUAGACUUUCGAUUGUUACCCUUGUUCUGUUAAAUUGGUUGGAUAUUGGAAGUCUGAACUUUUUACUGAAUGAGUAAAUUGCAUAGAUGCAAUGCUACUAUCAUAACCUCUGCCACAGACAGUUGAAAAGCUAUCACAUGAUCUCGUUGCGUCAUCAUAUUAUCUUUCUUACAGAAAGAAAUUUGUAAGAUAGCAGAAAGAGAACCGCUGCUUUGACUUGACUGAAGACUAGGGCUGUCUUGUUUAAUCAAUGACAUGAAGAUGAACCAACAGUGAUACUAACUGCUCAACUACGGGCAAAGAACUGAAGAAACAAUCUUGAAGCAAUGCAAAGAAAAACCAUAUAAUCAAUAUAUAUGACAUCUAUGAUCAAUUUUGGUGUCCGCAGCCACUCCUUCGCCCUCCCUCCCCUGCUCGCUCUCUUUCUCUUCUCCUCUGGCUUCGGCAAGUUUCCUCUGUCGGUACAGGCCCUGCCGCUACUCCUUUGCCCUCCCUCCCCCAUACCGACUCAUUCCGUUGGAGAAUCGGUAUCGGGCUGGGCCCGCACCGACUCAUUCCGCCGGAGAACCGGUACAGUGCCCAGUACUGGUUCCUCCGACCUUGAUUUUGGUUAGCUUGGGCUGGAAGAUUGUUUUCAGCCAAAAGUUGAAACCUUAGUCUCAGCGUGCUCUUUUUGUGUGUACCUUGGUAGCAUUACAAAGUGAUGCACUUGAUGCAAUUUUCGGUUUUCAUUUUUUGCAAUUCUGGAUCUUCCUAUUUGCAUGCUUGAUUUCUAUAAGCACUGUGUGCCUUACUCCUUUCACAUGGUGAUUUGUCUGUCCCUACAAUCUCCAGAUUGCAGGAUCAGCUGUCUCUCUCUCGUCUCUUCUAUUUUCUGUUCACUUUAGUUAGAAGCCUUGAACCUAGGGUCCCAAGUUAUGUUUCAUAGUCAGUUGUGGGAUAUCACACAUGUACGGAAGCAGGCAUCCAAACCUCCCAUUGAAGUCAAGUAAUUAGUCUAUAAAUGGUAAGAGUAGCGGACAAUUGUGCACUCUUGUGCUCUUUUAAAAUUUGCAUACUAUGUAAUGCUUAUUUAAAACUGCUAUUGCUUGCAAGUUGUUGGGCUCGCUUGUAAUAU
rnacentral:lncRNA from 1 species